rnacentral:lncRNA from 1 species
GGGAAUUAUGGCAUUUGAAUUCCAGUAGGGUUUGUGUCCAACCACUUCUAUUUUUCCUUUCAGAGCUCUACAUUGCUCAGACUUUGCCACGCCCAGCCUAAACUCUACUGUGUUUAGCAUAAAGCCUACGUUUCCCCCUGACAGACGGAAUUUUUAAGAGUUCCUAUCUCCGUUUGACUGUCACUAGAGACGAACUUCUGCGAGGUCUGCUUGAUAGCACCUAAACGCGAGCUCUUCAGCUGGUGCUUCAGACAGAAAAACGGGUUGUGGGAGGAGGAGAACCAGUUUCAGUGGCUGCAGGCCGCAUUUCACUGCGGAUAUAGAAAGCGUUACGUUGCCGAUAGAAAAGUGACAACAUAAUGAAUCAGCAGUGAUACCUUAAGCCAGCAAAGCUUCAAGGUAAGGAUGUUUAUUUGGAUUAUAAUUUAUUCAUGGAUAAAUCUAAAGCUAACUGAGCAUAUUAUGAAGUAAAGGGUUCUUGUUCCUACUAGAAGCAGGCACUGGUAUCACCCUGUUUAAACUGGAUAAUUUUGUGAAGAUGGCAGCAAGUUGGUUAACAGCAAGAGUUUAUAGUACUGUAAUGAAGUAACUCUAUUUCUUACUUAUAAUUUCUUAUCUGAUUGGAAACAAUAACAACAAAAAAGAAACAAUAAGAAGAAAAGUAAUUAUUUGAUAUUUAAAUGUUAAUAAUGUGA